AACGAACGCUGGCGGCAUGCCUAACACAUGCAAGUCGAACGAGACCUUCGGGUCUAGUGGCGCACGGGUGCGUAACGCGUGGGAACCUGCCCUUAGGUUCGGAAUAACUCCCCGAAAGGGGUGCUAAUACCGGAUAAUGUCUUCGGACCAAAGAUUUAUCGCCUUUGGAUGGGCCCGCGUUGGAUUAGCUAGUUGGUAGGGUAAAAGCCUACCAAGGCGACGAUCCAUAGCUGGUCUGAGAGGAUGAUCAGCCACACUGGGACUGAGACACGGCCCAGACUCCGACGGGAGGCAGCAGUGGGGAAUAUUGGACAAUGGGCGAAAGCCUGAUCCAGCAAUGCCGCGUGAGUGAUGAAGGCCUUAGGGUUGUAAAGCUCUUUUACCCGAGAUGAUAAUGACAGUACCGGGAGAAUAAGCUCCGGCUAACUCCGUG
rnacentral:rRNA from 1 species